CGAAGGGGCUAGCGUUGCUCGGAAUUACUGGGCGUAAAGGGUGUGUAGGCGGAUAGUUUAGUCAGAGGUGAAAGCCCAGGGCUCAACCCUGGAAUUGCCUUUGAUACUGGCUACCUUGAGUUCGGGAGAGGUAAGUGGAACUCCGAGUGUAGAGGUGAAAUUCGUAGAUAUUCGGAAGAACACCGGUGGCGAAGGCGACUUACUGGCCCGAUACUGACGCUGAAACACGAAAGCGUGGGGAGCAAACAGGAUUAGAUACCCUGGUAGUCCACGCUGUAAACGAUGAGUGCUAGUUGUCGGCAUGCAUGCAUGUCGGUGACGCAGCUAACGCAUUAAGCACUCCGCCUGGGGAGUACGGUCGCAAGAUUA
rnacentral:rRNA from 1 species